rnacentral:rRNA from 1 species
UAACGCGAAGAACCUUACCAACUCUUGACAUCCAGAGAAGUUACUAGAGAUAGUUUCGUGCCUUCGGGAACUCUGAGACAGGUGCUGCAUGGCUGUCGUCAGCUCGUGUUGUGAAAUGUUGGGUUAAGUCCCGUAACGAGCGCAACCCUUGUCCUUAUUUGCCAGCACAUAAUGGUGGGAACUCUAAGGAGACUGCCGGUGACAAACCGGAGGAAGGUGGGGACGACGUCAAGUCAUCAUGGCCCUUACGAGUUGGGCUACACACGUGCUACAAUGGCCGGUACAGAGGGCCGCGAACCUGCGAAGGUAAGCUAAUCUCAUAAAACCGGUCGUAGUCCGGAUUGGAGUCUGCAACUCGACUCCAUGAAGUCGGAAUCGCUAGUAAUGGUGGAUCAGAAUGCCACGGUGAAUACGUUCCCCGGGUCUUGUACACACCG